GCCGUUAUAGUAUAGUGGUCAGUACUUCCGCUUGUGGCGCGGACAACGUAGGUUCGAUUCCUGCUAACGGCA